rnacentral:rRNA from 1 species
UACAGAGGUCUCAAGCGUUGUUCGGAUUCAUUGGGCGUAAGGGUGCGUAGGCGGCGCGGUAAGUCGGGUGUGAAAUCUCGGAGCUUAACUCCGAAACUGCAUUCGAUACUGCCGUGCUUGAGGACUGGAGAGGAGACUGGAAUUUACGGUGGUAGCGGUGAAAUGCGUAGAUAAUCGUAAGGAAGACUAGUGGCGAAGGCGGGUCUCUGGACAGUUCCUGACGCUGAGGACGAAGGCCAGGGGAGCAAACGGG